CUCCAGAAAGCAUAGCGCACAACAUAAUCUUGGUCUCAGGUACGUAUGAUCCUCUCAAUCUACGAUAUGGUGUAAAAGCCAUGAUGCUUCGCUGAGGAGAAAUUCUUCUGUUUCCGAGCGAGGAGUGGUGUUGUCUUCCUUGGUUCCCCUCUUUGGACACAGCUUCACUCGGGAUGCGUGAAUCCAGAUGUCAUGGGAAUCUGUGGACAGCGGUUCUGGGUACAGCAAUCACAGUAGCAGGUGGUCCAAAAGGGUAUCCUCCUUUCUUGGUCCUGUUCAGCUGACGGAUAUACACCUUGUCACCGGGCUGGUAUGAAUGAGUAGGUUCCUGUGAAGGUAAGGGAAAACUGCGAAGAAACAUUGUCAUACAUACCAUUCGGUUUUAUCAACAACUCCUGUACAUAUUGUUCUUGUAUUAGCUGUAAAUCCACAGACAUUAUAACAAGCGGUUCCCUGGCCCAGGGUGUGGGAAAAGGUCAUCCCAUCAAAAAUCUCAGAUGGAGAUAAUUUAGUCACCUUGUGAGGAAUCACUCUUAUCUCAGCUAAAAUAGCUGGUAGAUAUCUAGUCCAAUUUACCCAUGUUCCUGGGUAAAUUCUGGGCUUUUCCUUAAUAGUCCUAUUCAUCCUUUCAACUACCCCUGUAUUCUGUGGAUGAUAGGGUAUAUGAAACUGCCAGGUAAUUUGCAAGAAUUUAGCAAGUUCCUGGGCAACCCCACUUGCAAAAACCGGGCCAUUAUCAGAGCCAAUCUGCAGAGGGCAGCAAUACCGGGGAAUAAUUUCAGUAACAAUAAUCUUCACUAGAAUCUUCCCUAGAUAUCACAAAGGCCUCAUGCCAUCUACUAAACUGAUUAACUAUGACCAGUAAGUAUUGCUGUUUCUUACCAAUUUUGGAUACAUGAAUAAAAUCAAUCUGUAAGUGUGUAAAAAGAGCAGCGUUCACACGAUCUUACAAAAGACUGUACAUGCUGCCUGAGAUUCCUAAUAUAAAAUGAAUUCAUG